UCUUUCUCAGCCUAACAGAUUUAUUUAAUUUUAAUUCCUGAAUUUUGCAUCCUCAUUCCUCAGUUGAGCUAUGGGAGAAAGGCCUCAGUUUGCUUAUUUUGUGUGAAAGGUGACUUUAUGAUUUCAACACAUUUUCUUUUUCAGAAUCUCUAAUGUGGUUUCAGAAGAACUUUCCGUUCCAUAGAAAUCUGUGCAUCAGGGAAAUAAUCACAAUUUUUAAAAAAACGGAAGCAUUUGAAACCUAAAAAUUCUUUUUAAUAAGAGCUGUUCGAUCAAUUGUUGAAAUACAACCAUUAGUAUUUUUUACGUUUAUCGAGUUUCCUAUUUGAAAGCGUGUCUUUGCUUUUUCCUCUGUAAGAGAAUAGAAUGUCCCAGAGAGCUGAUGAAGGAUUUGCACACUUGUCUUGCCCAGGAAGUGCAUUCUCCUUGUGUCUGCAGCACAUGGGCAGCCUUCGAUAGCAUAAAAAUACCUCCCGAAGGUGAGCAGGUACCUGCUGUCCCUAGUCUAUGGGAAGACAGAUGCACUCAAGAACCUGCAAGCAUCUGAAAACACUGCAUGUGUGUUUGUGAGACCUGUAGUGAAGUAGACUUGGCCAUCCCUGGACAGUGAGGUCAGAUGUGAAUAAGUGUUGCAAGAGCACAUUGAAUAGCGUACACUACUGUUGGGAAAUGUUUUCCUAAGGCCUGGACUCCCCAAACUACGCACUGAUAAGCCCAUUGCCUUAAAGGUCUUCUGGUCAUUCACGUUUCAAAUGUAAGUGGCCACUCAGUACUGAUGGAAGGAAGGUAUGUUUUAUUAUCAUGGCACAAGAUACACUGAUCAGUUCCAGCAGGCUGAAGGGUCAGUGGGAUGUUGUGUCCCCUCACCCUCAUGACUACUGUGCUUUAGCACGGGGAGCAGGACAGUGUCCAAAUCUCAGGGUUUGGGUGAAAUGUAAGGAUGGAGUUGGGAAGUUGCUGGUCAAAGGAUGUAAAGUUCAGAUGAACAGGGAAUGACUUUGAGUACUGUUACCUGUAGCCUAUGACACUCAGCAGUGUCCUAUAAAUAAUGCAAAGGAACUUUAAGAAAGGGGAAGCAUGUUUGAGGGUUUAAAAAGCUUGUGGGGAACUUUUGUGGAAGAACAGAACUUAUAUAUUGGGAUUAGUGUUUGGAUUUGUAUAGUUUAAUUUACUUUAUUUUAAAAAUUCUGUAGAGACAUCCCUUAGAAACUAGAUUUGGUGCUGACCCAGGACCAUGUCUUCUUGUGCUCCCUGUCCUGUGUGGGAUUUGUGGCUCAGGCCUACUGUGGCCCCUGGUCUCUGUACCACUUUAUUUUCUGCCAAAUCCUACAUGAGUCUUCCUUUGCCCAUUCCCAGGUAAUAAAGUGAUUUCAGAAACAGUUAUACUCAUGAAUUUAUUAUACAAUUAAUCAGAAUAGGGUGGUUGAUUGACUUGGCAGAAGAAAUUUUCAUCUCCUAAAGUGUCAAGUGAUUUGUUUGUAUAAGAAUUUUUUUCAACCUGUUCACUCACAGCGCUGGGAGGUAAGUGCCAGUCUUGAGAUUGCCUAAACGUUUUAAACAGUAUGUAGAUAGUACUGCCCCUACUCACCCUGUGAUCCCAGGCAGUCACAUACAGGAAAGGCUGGGGGAUCAGGGGACAUCAUCAGACCACAGGUGUGGAUAAAUGUUAAAGUGUGAGAUGAACACAGAACCUGCGGGGCCUGAUUGAAGGACCCUGUAAGACAUUGUCUGUGUGGUAGACUCUCCUGAGAUGGUAGAGAGGAAGGGGAAGGGCCUCCUCCAUUACAAGUCUCAGGGGGCAGGAUCGCCAGUGGGCUGGGAAAGUGAUGCCUCUAGGUGAGAUGGGUAUUCGAUGCCACAGUAAAUUGAUUUGUAUUUUACAAGCACUGCAAAUGCGAAGGAUCCUGAAAGGUAGCCUGGAAAACUUCAGUGUACAGGCAUAGAGCUCAUGCGCAUGAGUGGCCAAUGAACAAUACCCGCACCUCCUCUCGGAUUUAGCCACGCCCUUCAUUAGUUCCUGAGGGGAUUUUUCAGAACAGAGAUUAUGGCAGUUUCAGCAUCGAAUUCCAUUUUUAGCAGGUGUGCUUCCUGACCAGAGAAGUCAGAUGACGGCAUGAGCAGCCCCUUAAAAGACAAGGCUUGGAUUGGCAGUAGCAGACAAGGAACUCUGUGGGCAUACUCCAAGGAAACUGGACCUCCUCUGUCACAGGACAUCCACUGUUUAAGCACCACCACUACCUCAGGAAGUCCACUGUCUGUGUGUCAACUCCACUGUUACAGGACCACAAGUGUCUCAGAACUUCAACUAUCACAGCACUUCUACUGUUCAGGAACUCAAGAGUCUCAGCAUCUCAAGUGUUACAGGACCUCCUUUGUCCAAGAACUGGACUGUCCAAGCAACACUACUAUUGCGGGACCUCCACUGUCACAGGACUUCCACUGUAGGAGCACUACAACUGUCUAAGGACACCCACUGUCCUAUCACCUCCACUAUCCCAGGAAUUCCACUGUCGUAGCACCACCCAUAGCAACUACAGUGUUUCAGGACAUCAACUGAAGCAAGAUCUCCCAUGAUGCUUCAACUUCACUGCCACAGGAUCUCUACAGUGACAGGAAUACCCCUGUAUCAUCAAUUCCAAUUUUGCAGGACCUCCACUGUAGCAGAACCUUCAAUUGUGCAGCAGCUCCUUUGUAAGUAGAUUGACCGCCACGAUCUCAGUGCCUACACUUUCAAAGGACCUUCACUGUCACAGAACCGGCACUAUUUCAGUGCCUCCACUGUCGCAGGACCUACCUCUUCACAGGAUCUGCACUGUUGCAGCAACUGUAAUUUCAAUUUUUCAAAGUCAUUGCUGGUUAUUAGAUUUCAGGCUGAAUGAAAUGAGAUGUUACUUUUGAAAGCAUAAGAAUUUGUUCUAUAGCUCUUGUGAUAAAUGCCGUGUGUGCUAGGACCAGUAACCUAUGGAAGCCUUCAUGAGCUCAUACCACUCUCCACCUCACUUUGUGGAAGCUGGUGUUUUUAGAGUGUGAUAAACUUCAGGUGAAUGGAUGCAUUCAGCUGCACCACGCUCUAGAGUGGGCUACACAGCAGUCAUAUUGAGUCCUUGCUGGGAAGAGAAGAAAUCCAGAAGAGGGAGAUGGUUGGGUUGGGGGAAGAAUCAUAAAAUACUUAGAGGAUAUAAGAAGGUAAGAAUUAUGGGGAACUGGAAAACAGAGCCAGAGGAAGAAUGAGCACAGAGCAAACUGGGAAGGACAAAGUACAAAGGCACUUGGGUUUUGCCAUCUGCGUGUUCUCUGGACAAUCUCCUUGGUCCUCAUUUCUGGGAGAAAACUCUUCCCCCACCCCCUUGUAAGGUUUCAUUCUUGAAGGAAAACCGCAACACAACUUCAUCAGUGAAUUUCCCCAUUGGAAUUGGUUCAUCCUUUAAUGCCUCUGGGAAAUCCCUAGCUGGGGAUGUCCUGCUCUCUGCUGAGAGACAGCAGGAAAGUAGGUCGUCCUCUGUUUUCUCGUUGCUACAGCUCUUCUAAGUGUGGCUGAUUGUUGAGUGAAGGCACAGGAUACUUCUGGAGUGUAUGUAUGCUUUGUUCACUGUGGGUGUUGUCGGGAGUGUCCUGAAAAGAUGGGCAUGCCCAAUGGUACUUCUGCUUCUUCUGUGACUAGCCUUAUGAUCAUAGGGAGACACUAGGCCAUUGGAAGAUGAGGAGAACAAUGUGUCUAAGUUGUGUUCACUUCUAUUCCUAUUUAGUCCUAGAGGGAAAUCAGCAAGGGUGUGAGGAAUGCUGCUGUGCACUGACUGUGUGGUGUGAGGAAUGCUGUUGUGCACUGACUGUGUGGUGUGAGGAAUGCUGCUGUGUACUGACUGUGUGGUGUGAGGAAUGCUGAUGUGCAUUGACGCUGCCUUUUUUCUUUUCUCCCUACUCCUGCAUCCUUCUGGUGGCUCAGGUUGGACAACUAGGUGCCCAUGACCAACUCCUCAUUGUGGAUGGAUUUAGUCUGGUUGGACUUUCUCAGGAAAGGUAUGACUAAUUGGUUACUUUAAAGCUGAUUGGUUAGUCUUAGUGUAUUGAAGUGAUAUUUUGCUUUUUAUUUUGAAAUUUGAAUUCAAAAAGAAGUGAUGUAAAAGCUCUUUGUGUUUACUCAUCUUCCCCUAUAAUCCUAGUUGUUAGAGCACAUGAAUCUCAUUUGUGUUCACUCAUAAGAAUGUAUAUUCUUUAGAGUAUUUCCUUAAAUAAUUAUAUAAAUAUGUACACAUAUAC